UCACCAAGGAAGUUCUACCAGUGCUGGAAGUUCUAUCAGAGUGCAGAGAGACACCAGAAGCACUCAGUAUUGGUGCUCUGAUACAGAGGAAAGAAGAAGAAGAUGGAAGAAGAAGACCAAGGUGAGGAGAAGCCCAUGCUUCAGGUCCCGACUCCUGAGAGCCCAGUGGAGACCGCCAGACGAACAGGAGCCAUACCCUGCAGGACUCCCACAGCUGUGCAGAUGAAGACUCCAGGAGCUGUGCAGAAGACUCCAGCAGUUGUGCAGAAGAAGACUGCAGGAGCUGUGCUUAAGACUCCAAAGAGCAUUCAGUUUAGUGGGAGCUGAGAAGGACCACAAAGGACUGCAGCUAUGACCCAAGACCCUCUCUUAUACCUGGUGGAUUCUGAACUAUAAGUCCCAAAUGUACUCUUCAGAGUGGAAACAGGAAACAGGAAAACUGUGUGACCACUGGAGCAAAGCAGAGGCGGAAAGUCACCAAGGAAGUGCUAUCAGUGCUGGAACAGAGUGCAUAGGGACACCACAAGCACUCAGCACUGAUGCUAUAUUACAGAAGAAAGAAGAGGAUGGAAGAAGAAGACCAAGGUGAGGAGAAGCCCAUGCUUCAGGGCCCGACUCCUGAGAGCCCAGUGGAGACCGCCAGACGAACAGGAGCCCUACCCUGC